GACGAACGCUGGCGGCGUGCCUAAUACAUGCAAGUUGAGCGAUGAAGAUUGGUGCUUGCCCCAAUUUGAAGAGCAGCGAACGGGUGAGUAACGCGUGGGGAAUCUGCCCUUGAGCGGGGGACAACAUUUGGAAACGAAUGCUAAUACCGCAUAACAACUUUAAACAUAAGUUUUAAGUUUGAAAGAUGCAAUUGCAUCACUCAAAGAUGAUCCCGCGUUGUAUUAGCUAGUUGGUGAGGUAAAGGCUCACCAAGGCGAUGAUACAUAGCCGACCUGAGAGGGUGAUCGGCCACAUUGGGACUGAGACACGGCCCAAACUCCUACGGGAGGCAGCAGUAGGGAAUCUUCGGCAAUGGACGAAAGUCUGACCGAGCAACGCCGCGUGAGUGAAGAAGGUUUUCGGAUCGUAAAACUCUGUUGGUAGAGAAGAACGUUGGUGAGAGUGGAAAGCUCAUCAAGUGACGGUAACUACCCAGAAAGGGACGGCUAACUACGUG
rnacentral:rRNA from 1 species